rnacentral:lncRNA from 1 species
UGAAUCUGAUGAGGAUUAUGGAUCAUUUGACUGAAAAGCUCGCCAUUACCAGUGAAAUCUACAAGCGUUCAGUCAUUUAUUUAUUUAUUUGAUUUAUCAUGUUCUCUUUAAACUAAUUUGUGGUGUUAUGAACUUAUUUUUAUCUUUGUUGGAUUUGGGAUUUUUGGUUGGCAUCUUAUGUCAACAUAACUUUAUGGUGGAUUUUGUUAAUUGAGUUAUUGUUUUGUUUUAUUUGGUUCGAGUAGU